AUGAACGCUGGCGGCGUGUCUAAGGCAUGCAAGUCGAACUCUGUGUAGCAAUACAUGGGGUGGCAGACGGGUGCGUAACACAUUGGUAACCUACCUCGAAGUCGUGAAUAACCUGCCGAAAGGCGGACUAAUACGCGAUGAAAAUGGGGGGACAUAUGUCAUUCCCAUUUAAAGCUCAGGCGCUUUGAGAGGGGCCUAUGGUCUAUCAGCUAGUUGGUAAGGUAAAAGCUUACCAAGGCUACGACGGAUAGCGGGUGUGAGAGCAUUACCCGCCUCACUGGGACUGAGACACUGCCCAGACUUCUACGGAAGGCUGCAGUCAAGAAUAUUCCGCAAUGCCCGCAAGGGUGACGGAGCGACGCCGCGUGAUUGAUGAAGCCCUUCGGGGUGUAAAGAUCUUUUAUCAGGGAAGAACAAAUGACGGUACCUGAUGAAUAAGAGGUUGCUAACUCUGU
rnacentral:rRNA from 1 species